GUUCUCUGGUAGCCUCAGAGGUCACGUAUGAAGACGGCAAAGGCCCGUAGUGAUGAGGUGGACAGUACAUCCCACGUUACCCCUGUGGUUACUCAAGGCAUCAUCAAGAAGUGAGGUCCCCUUCAUGGUGUUCUAUGAAUUACAAGCAUCCUCAGGUCCUGAGCAGGGUGGACACGGGAGAAAGCUCUCUGGUGUCUCUUCUUGAAGGACACUCAUCCCAUCGAGAAGGCCUGCCGUUAUGACCUCAUCUGAAGCCAACUACCUUCCAAGACUUCCUCUCCAAAUUACAUCACAGCAGGUGUUCGGGCCUCAAUGUGUGAACUUGGGAGGGGAGACACACUCAGUCCAUAGCAAUAAAACUGGU
ensembl:lncRNA